GAUACCGUAGCACAAUGGAUAAUGCCUCUGGUUACGGCCCAGAAGAUUGGGAGUUCGACCCUCUCCGGUAUCA
rnacentral:tRNA from 1 species